UAUUCCCACUGUGGACUUCUGGAUUCCUGUAGACAUUACCUUUGAUUCGUUUCCAUGGUGCUAAAGGAGGGAGACAGAAGGGGUGAAAAGAGGAUAUACAGAUUUCACUACAAGGUGCAAGAGAAAAUCAUACUGGAAAGGACAGCACAGCUGGCAUAAGAGUGGCAGUAGCAGGAUUCCAAACAUGUUAGACAACAGCACUUCAUCUGGGAGAAACUUAAAAGCUUCACAAGUGUACAACUGCUCAGAGAUAGAGGCAACACAGCCCCAGAAGAGGAAGAAAAAUUACAGGAAAUCCUGACCUACGUUUGUCCAAAAUCAUCAAACAAUCUGGGUAACUGGUAUUCACUCAUAUGAUAGCUUUUAAGUUGUCAGCAAUUCUUGGCAAAUA